AGAUGAAACUGCGAAGGGCUCAGUAAAUCAGUUAUCGUCCGUUCGAUCUUAAAAGCCAUGGAUAACUGUGGCAAAUCUAGAGCUAAUACAUGCAAAUACCAUGUGUGGGCAACCAUGCAUGGUGCAUUUAUUGGACGGAACCGACAGGAGUGGAAACGCUCUUGCAGGUGAAUCUAGAUAACUUUGCAUAUCGCACGGCUAGUCCGGCGAUAGUUCGAUCGAAUUUCUGCCCUAUCAACUCGUUGGUAAGGUAGUGGCCUACCAAGGUUGUGACGGGUAACGGGGAAUCAGGGUUCGAUUCCGGAGAGGGAGCCUGAGAAACGGCUACCACAUCUAAGGAAGGCAGCAGGCGCGCAAAUUACCCAAUCCAGACAUUGGGAGGUAGUGACGAGAAAUACCAAAGUGUACCUUUAACGGUUUCACUAUUGGAAUGAACGUAACAUAGUACCUUCGCUGAGUACCUACUGGAGGGCAAGUCUGGUGCCAGCAGCCGCGGUAAUUCCAGCUCCAGUAGUGUAUAUCAAAAUUGUUGCGGUUAAAACGCUCGUAGUUGGAUUACAAAAGUCYGGCGUCAGCCAAUCAUCUUGUUUGGUUGGCGUUGGGCUUUUUUAUCGCAAGAACCACUUGUGCGCUUAACCGUGUACGUGUGGCCACUUGCGGAGCGUGCCUUGAAUAAAGCACAGUGCUCAAAGCAAGCGUAACGCUUGAAUGUUAUAGCAUGGAACGAAUAAUUGACCCAACACCAUACCUUAAUUUGGUUGGUUCAGUUGGUUGGUUCUCUGAACCGGGUCCUGAUUAAAAGGGACAUUUGAGGGCGUUAGUACUUGGUGGCGAGAGGUGAAAUUCUUAGACCCACCAAAGACUCACUAAUGCGAAGGCAUUCGCCAAGAAUGUUUUCAUUGAUCAAGAACGAAAGUUAGAGGUUCGAAGACGAUCAGAUACCGUCCUAGUUCUAUACAGUAAACUAUGCUGCCACGGGAUCAGUCCGGAAAACGGUCCAG
rnacentral:rRNA from 1 species